AUCAGGGGCCCUGACCGGGCCUGCGGGGCGCACUCCCGCCACCUGUGGAGGCGCUCCGUGUCCAUGCAGCCCAAAAGGCAGCGCGACGCGAUGGUGACUGCAACGAAGAAGUUGUCCCGAGGGACGGAAGCGCUUGACCGCAGCCACGGCCACCGACGUCGCCUGUGCAGCACGGCAUCCACGAGCCACGCUGCCGGCGGGUCCACCGCGCCUGCUUUCUUC
rnacentral:ncRNA from 1 species